AUUGAACGCUGGCGGCAGGCCUAACACAUGCAAGUCGAGCGGACGGACGGGGCUUUUUCCUGGCUUACGCGGCCGACGGGUGAGUAAGGCAUAGGAAGAUACCCGGUCUAGGGGGCUGACGUCCGGUCACGGGCGCUAAUCCCGUACCCGUCAUGAGAGUGAAAGUCGUGGUUCUUUGGUGCUCACGCUAUCUGAUGAGCCUAGUCCGGAUUAGCUAGUUGGUGAGGUAAGGGCCUACCAAGGCGACGAUCCGUAACUGGCCUGAGAGGAUGAUCAGUCACACUGGAACUGAGACACGGUCCAGACUCCUACGGGAGGCAGCAGUGGGGAAUAUUGCGCAAUGGGCGAAAGCCUGACGCAGCCAUGCCGCGUGUGUGAAGAAGGUCUUCGGAUUGUAAAGCACUUUAAGUUGGGAGGAAGGGAAGUAAGUGAAUACCUUGCUGUCUUGACGUUACCAACAGAAUAAGCACCGGCUAACUACGUG
rnacentral:rRNA from 1 species